CACCUCCCUUCGCUGCAUAGAGGCGCCCAAGAUGGCGGGAGGUUCGGGGUGGUAGGAAGCAUUGGUGGCGAAGCGUACCCGAGCGUUGAGCCCGGGCGAUUGGUCACCUGCUGGAACGCUCCUUUCGCGACCAUGAGCAACAUCUACAUCCAGGAGCCCCCCACCAACGGCAAGGUUUUGCUGAGAACAACAGCAGGAGAUAUAGAUAUAGAAUUAUGGUCAAAAGAAGCACCAAAAGCAUGUCGAAAUUUCAUCCAGCUUUGUAUGGAAGAGUAUUACAGUAACACAAUAUUUCACAGAGUAGUGCCUGGCUUUAUAGUGCAGGGAGGUGAUCCCACUGGUACUGGAUCAGGUGGAGAUUCAAUCUAUGGAGCUCCCUUCAAGGAUGAGUUCCACUCACGAUUGCGAUUUAAUCGGAGAGGACUUGUUGCUAUGGCAAAUGCUGGCCCUCACGAUAACGGGAGUCAGUUUUUCUUUACAUUGGGUCGUGCAGAUGAACUUAACAACAAGCACACAAUCUUUGGAAAGGUUACAGGGGAUACAAUAUAUAACAUGUUGCGCCUGGCAGAAGUAGAAGUUGACAAGGAAGAGAGACCUCUCAGUCCGCACAAAAUAAGAAGCACUGAGGUUUUGUUUAAUCCUUUUGAUGACAUUGUUCCAAGACCAAAUAGAAAACUGAAGAAGGACAAACCAGAAGAAGAAACUAAAAAGUCCAAAGUAAAAGGCACAAAAAAUUUUAACCUGCUUUCCUUUGGGGAAGAAGCUGAAGAAGAAGAGGAGGAAGUCAGUAGAGUUAGUCAGAGCAUGAAGGGAAAAAGUAAAAGUAGUCAUGAUCUGCUGAAGGAUGAUCCACAUCUAAGCUCAGUUCCUGCUGUCAAAAGUGAUGCAGCAAGUGAAGAAGGGGAUGUGAGUGAGGAGGAAGAACAUGAUGAAGAUGCUGAUAGCAUAGAAGGUGAAGCUGCCAGUAGUGAGAGAUUUCAAAUAAAAGAACGCAUUGCCAAGAAGUUGAAAAUCGAUACAAGUGAAAACGCUAAACUGCAACUUCAAGAGGAAGAAACUAAGACAGAAAAGAAAACAACUAGUCGCAGUGAGGAGUUACGGAAAGAAGCGCGACAGCUGAAACGUGAACUGCUGGAAGCCAAGCAGAAAAAAGAAGAAAGAGCUCUAAAACCCAAAGAAAAGGAAGAGGAGGAACCUGCUGCAAACAGUGUUGUUGAAGAAUACCUUCAGGAGAAGAGAAAAUAUGAAGACAAACGGAAGCAGCAGCCAAAGAAAGGGGUUUCUCGUGAAGAUCAGCCUCUUCUAGCCUUGCAUCCCUCCUCCUUGGUCCUACAGCACAAUACCAUUUUGCAUCCUCUGUACAAGAGUUAAAGAAGAGGGGGAAAGACACUGGCACUAUUGGACCGAUUUAAAUCAAAGUUAACCCAGGCAAUUGAAGAAACUCCUGAAAAUGAGGUUUCUGAACCUGAAGCAGAUAAUGACGAAGGAUGGAUGUCACAUAUACUUCAGUUUGAAGAUAGAAGCAGAAAGGUGAAAGAUGCAAGCAUGCAGGAUGAAGACACUUUUGAGAUCUAUGAUCCACGGAAUCCUGUAACUAAGAGGAGAAGGGAAGAAAGCAAGAAGAUAAUGAGAGAAAAAAAGGAAAGGAGAUAAAAAGAAUGUAAAGCUAGCCAGAGCUGCCUUGAAAAGUGACUGCAGUAAAGCACUGGCUCUUUUCUAAGCUGUAGUUCCUAAAAAUAUCAUGGGACAAGUGUGAAAAAGAACUUCUCAAGAACCUGUCAUGCAGUUGUGAAGCACAGCUAUCAUUUGUUCCGUAAGUUGUGCAGUCAGAUGCUCUCAUUGCAUUCAUUGUCCAACCUCUCUGAAGGUUUGUAGAAUUAUAUGUUUAAUAAAACAGCUGACUUGA